rnacentral:pre_miRNA from 1 species
UUUCUGACCAUGUGACCUGGGGGCCGAGAGUGUUUCCACCUCAGGUCACAUGUUCAGGAUA